rnacentral:rRNA from 1 species
UACAGAGGUCUCAAGCGUUGUUCGGAAUCAUUGGGCGUAAAGGGUGCGUAGGUGGCGUGCUAAGUCAGGUGUGAAAUUUCGGAGCUUAACUCCGAAACUGCAUUUGAUACUGGUGUGCUUGAGGACUGGAGAGGAGACUGGAAUUCAUGGUGUAGCAGUGAAAUGCGUAGAGAUCAUGAGGAAGACCAGUGGCGAAGGCGGCUCUCUGGACAGUUCUUGACACUGAGGCACGAAGGCUAGGGGAGCAAACGGG